CGAAACUGAGCCCGCGGGGCCGUCCCGGGCGUCCAGCGGCCCGCGCCCGAGCGCCGGGUCCCCGCUUGGCAGACGGGCACGUGGGGCCAGUCGGUGCCCGGUCGGGGCGCCCGGAACGCGCGCGCCCGUGCGUGGCGCCUUACGGCCUCCGCCUCGGCGUGCUUCUCGCGGCCUUUGCUGAGCGCAGUACGCGAGGCAGCAUCUUUUUCUUAGUGCUGUGAUUUCGUGAGUCGUGUGUGUUAAAAUCGGUGGCUUGUAGAUCGGACUGCGACGACUCGGCGUAAGCCGUCAUCCCGCCGCCCGCAGCGCGGAGCCAGCCAAGGAGCGCCCUGGCGGCGGGGCGGGAGCGGCGGGCCUCGCGCCUGGGCCCCACGCUUGCUGGGUCCCUGCUGGAGUCGCCAUCACCCUCUAAACCUGGUUUAAUCUAUUCAGCAGUGCCUUGAGGUUCAUUCUGGAAGCUAAGCUGAUUUCUGUCGAAAGGCUGGAGGUGUGUCCCUCUUGCCCAGAACUCAGGACUGAAAACACGGCAGUGGCGGGUACAGAGCAAUACGCAUGCUCCCAAACCAGAGAGAAGAGAGAACCAAGCACAUCUGAAAGAUUUCAUUGGAUAUUAUGUUAACUAUGGAUUCUCUUUUUUCUGGGGUAAAGUAUAAAAAAAUGAAAGAGUGGAGGCUCAGAGAGGUAAAGGGACAAAUCCAAGAUUGCACAGCUCUGCAGCAAAAGAGCCUGCACCAGAAUCCAGGGCUUCUGACCCUGGCCCGAGCUCUUUCCUUCACACCACACAACCUCCUGCUUCACCUGCUCCUGCACUUCUAAGGCCCUGGUGUGCCCACAUCUACAUCAGCAUGAGACCAAGCUUGUACAGCAAAACUCCAAGCAGGUAAGAGCUUCAGUGCAGAGAGAAACAGUGACUGGCUCAUGGGGGUAGCCUCUGAAAAUGGGUCAAGAAUCUGUUUCUCAGGGCCAGUGCGUGCAGCUGGGGGUGGGGCUGAGGGGUUGGGGCAAGGGUAAACUGACCCAGCAGAAGAUAUUUAAGUCCUACGUUUGUUCCAAACUCAUAUUUCAGAUUCCCCUCUCUAGCCAACCAGAGCGCAUGCGUUCUUGCUCACACUAUUUCUCUCUCUCAGUUCUAUUUCGAAUCUGGGCUUGUGGAGCUCAGACAAGUUCUGUUCUCCUGGGACCCUGUGAGGUGUGAGGGGUCCCCUGCGUGCUGCUGAAGCCUCACUGCCCAGCUGUCUAGGGGGUGAGGAUGAGGGAGAUGGAGAGACCUGGGAAUUCCUUUCCUCAACAUCAGUCUGACGC